CCCUUAGAUGUUCUGGGCCGCACGCGCGCUACACUGAUGCGUUCAACGAGUAUAAAACCUUGAUCGAUAGGUCUGGGUAAUCUUGUGAAUGCGCAUCGUGCUAGGGAUAGACUGUUGCAAUUUUCAGUCUUGAACGAGGAAUUCCUAGUAAACGCAAGUCAUCAGCUUGCAUUGAUUACGUCCCUGCCCUUUGUACACACCGCCCGUCGCACCUACCGAUUGAAUGACUCGGUGAAAAAUUGGGACCGUGAGUCUGUUUGCUUAAUUGCGAGUGGAUUGAUGGGAACUUUUUUAAACCUCGCCAUUUAGAGGAAGGUGAAGUCGUAACAAGGUUUCCGUAGGUGAACCUGCGGAAGGAUCAUUA
rnacentral:rRNA from 1 species